GCAGCGGUAUGGUCUGGGGAGAGGAGGCUCACAGUACGUGAAUUCCGAGGGCUGAUGAAAUGGCUCUGGCCCUCUGGAUCUCUCCAUGCCAUGAACGAAUAAACGGGCAUGGGGGCAGGGCGGCGAAAUCAAACUCCAGUGUUCUCCGACAGACCAGUUCCUUCCUGAGCGCUACACAGAUUGAUUACCAGUUCCUUGAGAUUGGACCAUUCUGCUUGGGGACCAUGAACUCUUUUCUGGGCUGUUUUGAUCCACUUUGCAUCCUUUCACUGCUCCUGGGCACUUCUUCACGUCAGUGGAAAUAAAAGGAAAUGAAACCAAAACAAUGAUUUGACAUUCCGAGGGAAAAGGCACAGAAUGGGAGGAAGCUGAAGUGACCGCGAACAUUCGUUCGCUCCUCAGUGAUUGACCUUUGUCAUCCCCGCGCUGCUGACAGGGACCCGGAGCCAACAAGGUGGUGUUCGCCCCAACCAAACCUUUUAGUAAGGCCAAUGUGGAGGUCAUUCAAAACCUGGUUGGGACCCCAGGUGUUUACACAAGAGAAAUGAAAACAUAUGGUCACACAGAAACCCAGACGUGGAUGUUUAUAGCAGCUUUGUUCAUCAUUGCCAGAAUCUGAGGACAGUCCCCACCCUUCUCCUGGCGAAGGGACAAGCCAACCAUAGUGGCCCACACAGUCUCCUCACUGACUCCUCAGUCGGAAUCAUACAUGAUAAGAAGGAACCCACGCAACAGCUUGGGUGGACCUCAGAAGCAUUGUGCUCCGUGAGAGCAUCCAGACUCGAAAGGCCACGUGCCUUGUGAUUCCACUUCUGUGGACUCUCUGGAUAAAGGCAAAAGGAGAACAGAUCGGGGUGGCCAGGGGCUGUGGGGAGGAGCUGACCACAAAGGGACAAAGAUGGGAAUUUUCGGGGGAUGAUGGAGCGUUCUUUAUAUUGACGGUGGUCGGUGGUUGCGGUUACACAUUUGUCAAAACCCAGAGAACUACACCAAAGAGAGUGCAUUUUACUGCCUGUGAAUUUAAAAAUAAAUUUUUGAAAGUUAAGAGAAGAAAAAAAAAAACCAUCAUUGUUUCCAAAUAAAGGAAGAAGAAAGUUGUGAUACAUCCAAAUUUAGGGAUUUUUAAACAAAUCAUAUUUCGUCAUUUUGGAGUUUUUUUAUUGGAGAGGGGAAGGAACUAGGAGUCGGAGCAUCUUACGAAGCUUUGGUGGGUAGCCAGGCACAGGCCGGGGACGCGAGUGUGUUUCCUCAUUUAACCCUAACAAAUUUGGGAGGGCAGAUUACUAUCCCCCCUUUACAGAUGAAUAAACUGAGGCUCAGAGAAGUGACUUACCCCCGAGUCAAAAGGAAGAUAACAGAGCAGGGAUUGGAACCCAGGCCUGCAGAGUCCUGAGGGUAUUAUGGGAUAACGGGUUCGCGCUUGCUUCUGUUUGCCAGGCUUUUCGUAAGGUUAUGUGGCUUCACAAUAAAAAGUUACUUAUUUCCCUCUGACAACUCGUAGCUCAUAAAAGAGUUGCUCCUGUUGUGGCCUGGGAAGUAGUUUUCUUCUGCUGGUGCUUGCCUGGUUUCUUGAUUCAGCUAUGCGUUUCCGGAGGCCAAUGCUGGAUGGUUGCAAGCAGCCACCCUUUUCUCUCACAGUUUCUGGGGCUUAGGAGUCAAGGCUCAAGGUGUCAGCAGGGCCACACUCCCAUGGAAGGUUCUGGGGAAGAAUCCUUCCUCUCCCCUUCCAGCUCGCCUGCAGGUGUUCCUUGGCCUGAGGCCGUUCCCCGUGGGGGGGGCCCCCCCCCCCGCAUCUGCCACAUCUUCACAGUGCCAUCUUUCUUGUCUCUCCGUGAGUCC
ensembl:lncRNA